GGCUGCUCCAAGUACAGGGGUGUUUACGACAAAUUGAGCAAAACCAGUUACAGAUUCCUUUGUUCCUUCUCCACUCCCACUGCUUCAUUUGACUAGCCUUAA
ensembl:misc_RNA Y_RNA Y RNA